CGCAGUAGAACUUAAACCCGCACUGGAAGAAUUGGAACUAGUACCACUUCUCUUAAAAGUCUACGUCUUGCGAGGUCCUUGUGAUGACUAGCCCUUAUCUUUAUUAUUAUUCUGGUUACUAUCUUUUUCUUCCUCUUCCUCGCUGUCACUGGGCAUAUUUUCAUAAUCCUUAAUUCAUAGUAAAAUCUCAUAAAACUCCUGCUAUGUAGCACAUAGAGUCGUGGUCACCGUGGAAACGCCAUUUCUUUCUAGUACCCAAUCUAAAAUGGCGAAGCAUCUUUGCGGAAUUUGCAGCAAUCUCAGGGCAAUAACGAGAUAAAUCAGUAAACUUACGAUAAUACUCAUUAGCUGACAUAUUUCCUUUCUUUAGGUGUGUGAAUUCUUGCUUCUUACAAUCUAUAUACUCUAGGGGUACAAAUCUUUUUAGGAGGAUUUCCCUGUCUAUGCAUCAAUCAAAAAGUUUUCUCAAUAUGAUUGAGCCAACACUAGGCUCCCUCAGGCCCGUCAAUACCCAAAAAAUUAUUCAACUUUAGAUUAUACACAGUCUCCAAGGGAGUCUUCUGGGGAGGACGAAGCGAAGACUGAAUGACAUUGGCAAUUGCUUCCCCAAGUUGAGUAAUAUCGGGGAAACUAGACUCAGCGGAAGUACAUGGCUCUCUACGAGGCGGCAUGGUUCUGAAAAAAAGACACCAAAAUAAUUAGAAUACUCACAAAAUAUGUAGGACUGCCAAACCUAGGCUCUGAUACCAAACUGACACACCCCGACCCAAAUCGAGCAGUGAUGGCCGUCACGUGAAGGUGAUGAAGCUAUGUGCGCAGUGCAGAAGUGAUAGUGAUAUGAAAGUGUGAGUAAACAAAACCAAACUAACUAAUUUACACUAUACUAAUAUAUAAGUGCAAGUGAAGAUAUUUAAGUAUAGUUUCACUUAUGCAAAGUGUAGGUAACCUAAGUGCAGUCUAGCAUGUUAAGUACUAAUUAUACAAUACCAGAGAGGUGGUCUUACAUUAUUUAUAGUCUAUCAGAACUGUCGUCGACUCCUCGUAAGCCACCAACAAGCACGCCUACCCAGAACCUGGAAGGGCGCAAAAUAGAAAGUGUGAGUAGGCAAAAACAAAGCUUUUCAAAACCAUUUCUCUUUCCAAAAGUAAUAACCCUUCACCGUAAAACCCGUAUAAUUUUCCAGAAACUAGCAUACAUACAUAUACAGAAACCAUACUAAAAAAUAGUGAAAUCCAUAUAUAUGCCAUGUCAAAUAUCUCAGCAUAAUAAUUAAGUAAACCAGGUGAAGUAAAUCAAUGUAAAGUGAUAUGUCAGCCGAAUCCACCUUGUGUGGCCUGUACGGCUGAACUUAUAGCUCAUCAAAUAUGUCUGCACAUGAGUCAGAAUCACCUAGUAUGGUCUGUACGACAUGGCUAGGUGUAAUAAGUACGCUCAAGUACUACGAUCACAUGAAGGUUGUGCGAUAAAUCGCGGGUCACCUAAGAGUCAGAAUCACCUAUUGUGGUCUGUACAACAGGGUUGUGCACCAAACUUGGAUCCAAGGUGAGCAUGUGGUAUGUGAGGUGAACAUCACGUGAAGAGUUGUGCCCUGGCCACGGGCUAGAGCACUAACACUGGGGUGCAAGUUUAUGAGCUUUAAAUGCAUCUAUGUAUAACCAUCAUAAUGCAACUCACAAUCAUUAUUACAUAUACUCACCUGGAACUUACUGAGCGUCUGCAGCGUCAAAUACUAACAUACAUAACUACUAAUGCAUAUUCUAAAAUAUAAAGCAUUUGACAUGGCAUCUAAAAUACAAAAUCAUUUCAAUCAAUUUUUUUGGGAAAAACGUAAGGCAUAUAUACAUAUAUUAAAUCAAAAGCCCACUCACUGAUAUGUGGCAGGGUCGUAACCCCUGUAUCUCGCCUGACUGCGCUCGUCUUCCAGAAAUGUCUCACCUGAUGCAGUUAGUAUAUUCCGUCAAAAUUGACUGAAUAUUUUGCUUCUUCUCUGGUGGUUCACCGAAUUCCGUUGUUGGCCGCCAUCUGUGUCACCGGAAACACUUUGAAGACCUAAAUCCGAUGGAAAAUAGUCGAAAAAUUCCUCGUAAUUUCGACUAAACCUUCUUAAGUCUCAAAACUAGCUAAAACCUUCGCGAUCACGUCGGAGAAAAUUGCACUCCUUGCCGGAGCUCGGGUAUCUCGAGUUCUACCAGUUCUACCAUUCCUCUCCUCAAACCAAGGGUACGGCUCGACUCGUGAGGUCGAGGGAAGCACAAUAAUGCUAACCUUACACUCGAUCUGUGAGGUUCUGGUUCAGUUUGAGUGUGAUGUCUUCGGUUGUAC
rnacentral:lncRNA from 1 species